UGGGGAAUAUUGGACAAUGGGCGAAAGCCUGAUCCAGCCAUGCCGCGUGUGUGAAGAAGGUCUUCGGAUUGUAAAGCACUUUAAGUUGGGAGGAAGGGCAUUAACCUAAUACGUUAGUGUUUUGACGUUACCGACAGAAUAAGCACCGGCUAACUCUGUGCCAGCAGCCGCGGUAAUACAGAGGGUGCAAGCGUUAAUCGGAAUUAGUGGGCGUAAAGCGCGCGUAGGUGGUUUGUUAAGUUGGAUGUGAAAUCCCCGGGCUCAACCUGGGAACUGCAUUCAAAACUGACUGACUAGAGUAUGGUAGAGGGUGGUGGAAUUUCCUGUGUAGCGGUGAAAUGCGUAGAUAUAGGAAGGAACACCAGUGGCGAAGGCGACCACCUGGACUAAUACUGACACUGAGGUGCGAAAGCGUGGGGAGCAAACA
rnacentral:rRNA from 1 species